rnacentral:rRNA from 1 species
UCGUUGCUACCAAGUGUAUAAGGCCAAAAACAUGAUUUGUAACUUGGCAAGAGUUUGUUGAUGGUUUUAAACAAGAGGAAGCAAAAGUCGUAACAA